rnacentral:rRNA from 1 species
AGUGAACGCUGGCGGUAGGCCUAACACAUGCAAGUCGAACGGCAGCACAGUAAGAGCUUGCUCUUACGGGUGGCGAGUGGCGGACGGGUGAGGAAUACAUCGGAAUCUACUUUUUCGUGGGGGAUAACGUAGGGAAACUUACGCUAAUACCGCAUACGACCUACGGGUGAAAGCAGGGGAUCUUCGGACCUUGCGCGAUUGAAUGAGCCGAUGUCGGAUUAGCUAGUUGGCGGGGUAAAGGCCCACCAAGGCGACGAUCCGUAGCUGGUCUGAGAGGAUGAUCAGCCACACGGGAACUGAGACACGGUCCAGACUCCUACGGGAGGCAGCAGAGGGGAAUAUUGGACAAUGGGCGCAAGCCUGAUCCAGCCAUACCGCGUGGGUGAAGAAGGCCUUCGGGUUGUAAAGCCCUUUUGUUGGGAAAGAAAAGCAGCAGGUUAAUACCCCGCUGUUCUGACGGUACCCAAAGAAUAAGCACCGGCUAACUUCGUG